CUCAGGUUUCAGACCCCAGGAUGAUCCCAAGUAGGGCUUUGUCCCAGCGUUCUCCAGAAGACAGGUUCUGGGGAAUGUCUCACGCUGCGCCCUAGCAUGGCGGCAAAGUGGAAGACUGGGCAGGUGUGUGAAGGAAGAUAGAACCUCAUAAACUCUUGUUACAGAAACCAGUCCAGCUCUGCAAGACUGAGAAUCCACUCAGCCACCAUCUUCUUGACACAACAGCCAUUGCUAACCUUGGGUGGAAAUUGCUACAGCAGAAGAGAAGAAAAGGACACCCGCCCCCCAAUGCUAUGAAGUUCAAGUUACUUGGAGAGUAAACCAGUCAUAAACGAAGCCUUCAAAGAAAACCUGUACUAGGGAAGCCCUGGAAAAAUACUUUCAUUAUUAAAAUAGCUUUGCUAAAAUUGUUCCCCAUUUUGACUUAAAGUGAGACACAUUUCACAGUAUUUCCAAG
rnacentral:lncRNA from 1 species